ACCCACUCAGAUUAACACAAUCACUGCAAAGAGCAAACUAUUUUUCCAAAGUAAUUUUUUAUUGUACCUUGUGUAUCAUGGUUUAACAAGUAAAAAUAAAACAAUUUCUCUCUCGAACUUAUCUUGAGCUAGAAGAAUUAUGUUUCUACGCACCCACUCUAUAUUGUUGCAAUACUAAGAGAAUAAAAUCUUCUAGAAGCUACAUACCUAUCGCAAAUAAAGAUAGCUAGUUUCCUACAAAAUUAAUUUUCGUUAAGCAAACUAUUUCUUUCUAACACAACAUACCAAACAAUAGUUUUGUAAAAAAAUUUAGGCUAACCUAAACUUUUUAUCUCACUUAUCUCCAUAUUUUCCUUCUAUAGGCUUCAAGUCAGCCAUUAAAACAAAAUGCGUUCUAGCCUCACACAAAAAAUAUCUUACAAAAAAGUAUUAGUAAAAGUAGGAUACAUUUCACAAUACUAAAGAAAUACAAACACUGUAUAAAAUAAUUAUUUUUCUACUUAUCCUAAUUAUUUAUAAAAUAUCACAAUAAACUUUUCUUUACUUAACUCUCUCUUAGGAACUCGGCAAAUACGAACUUUGCCUGUUUAAUAAAAACAUGUCUUUCAGAAAAAAAAUUGAAAGUCCAACCUGCCCGGUGAUAGUUUUAACGGCCGCGGUAGCCUGACCGUGCUAAGGUAGCGUAAUCAUUUGCCCUUUAAUUGGGGGCUUGUAUGAAUGGUUAGACAAGAGUUCACCUGUCUUAGAGAGACAUCUAAAAAUUAACCUUUAGGUGCAGAGGCCUAAAUUAUAGUAAAAGACAAGAAGACCCUAUCGAGCUUUAAUUCAGUUUUUUUUAAAAAAAAUAACUAAAUUUUUAUUGGGGCAAUAUAGGAACAAAUAAAGCUUCCUAAAACACAUAAGAAACACUUUUUUUAAAAGAAACAUUAAAAAUUAUUUUGGAAAAAGCUACCGUAGGGAUAACAGACUAAUCUCCCUUGAGAGUCCACAUUGACAGGGAGGCUUGGCACCUCGAUGUUGGCUUAAGAUAACCAUUAAUUCUUGAAGCAGAACUCUAAUAUGGUAGGUUUGUUCAACCUUUAAUAUCUUACAUGAGCUGAGUUUAGACCGACGUAAGUCAGGUCAGAUUCUAUCUUUACUACUUUUCUAUUUAUCGUUCGUACGAAAGGAUUUCGAUAAAAAAAUUCUUUUUCUUUCCUAUAUU
rnacentral:rRNA from 1 species